AAAGUAGGGGAUCGUAAGACCUUGCGCUUUUGGAGUGGCCGAUGCCUGAUUAGCUAGUUGGUGGGGUAAGGGCCUACCAAGGCAACGAUCAGUAGUUGGUCUGAGAGGACGACCAGCCACACUGGGACUGAGACACGGCCCAGACUCCUACGGGAGGCAGCAGUGGGGAAUUUUGGACAAUGGGCGAAAGCCUGAUCCAGCAAUGCCGCGUGAGUGAAGAAGGCCUUCGGGUUGUAAAGCUCUUUCAGUCGAGAAGAAAAGGUUGUGACUAAUAAUCACAACUUAUGACGGUACCGACAGAAGAAGCACCGGCUAACUACGUGCCAGCAGCCGCGGUAAUACGUAGGGUGCGAGCGUUAAUCGGAAUUACUGGGCGUAAAGGGUGCGCAGGCGGCUUUGUAAGUCAGAUGUGAAAUCCCCGGGCUUAACCUGGGAAUUGCGUUUGAAACUACAAGGCUAGA
rnacentral:rRNA from 1 species